rnacentral:tRNA from 1 species
GUCUUCGUGGUGUAACGGUAGCAGACUCGGUUUUGAUUCGAGAGGGCCAGGUUCGAGUCUCGGUGAGGGCA